UUAAAUUUCAAAAUGUUAUUAAAGACAAAAAAAAUGUUUUAAUGCAACUAUUGAUGUUUGGAUACCUUUUAAUAUUAAGAAAAACAAAUUUUCAUAAAAAAAAGAAAAACGAAUUUUUUAUUGUUAAAGAUCAAUUUUUUAUUUGUUAAAGAAGCAUUAAAAAACAGAAAUUUUCACAAAUGUUGCCUUGGCUAUUUCGUGCAUAAAUUAGAUAUGUAGUUUUAAGUCUAAUUUACUUAACAAAGUGCACCAACGAGAAGCUUCCGGAUAAAACAAUCCAUUUCAGAAUUUUCAAGACUGACUUUAUGGCUACACUGGACACUUGUUACUUAAAAUUUUCAACUCUUCAGCGGUGAAAAAGGACUGAUGUACACCCUUGAUCCGCCCCUGCAGUGAAAGCUGUAAAGUUAAAUGGAAGAAGCAUAGCCCAGGUGUCUCUAGAUUUUAACAUCAACUAUAGAAGCCUACAACGCUAUUUGUCAAAAGCCUAUAAAAGAUAUUAAAGAAAAAUCGACAAUACCUUCAUUUCACACUGGCUACGUACAACCUAGGCAAGUGUUGAUACAGGAGCUUCAUCUUGAACUCUGUAGCUACUUGCAAAGAGCUUCAGAUAUUUACUUUAGACUUACACUAAAAGAUAUUUGGAAAUUAGCAUAUCAAUUAGCAGAUGCUAAUAAAAUGGCAUUGCUAAAAUUAUGGAUGGACAAUCAUUGUACUGGGAGAGAUUGGUUCAUGUCUUUCCUACAAAAAAAUCCAACAUUGUCUUAAAGAGCUCCAGAGACCACAAGCAUUGCACGUGGUAUAAGAUUCAACAAACACAGUAUUGAAAUAUUUUCCGAACCUAUCUGGUCGGAUGAAGGAAGACACGUUUUGUAAAUUUCUUACUCAUUUAGCAAAGAAUCCAAAGGCUUUCAAAGGAGCAUCAAAUUUUGCUACUGGUUGACAAUCACUUUUCGCACUUAUCAUUGAAUGCACUAGACUAUGCGACAGCACAUGAAAUUAUCAUGUUAUGUUCUCCAACCCAUUGCGCCCACAAGUUGCAGCCACCAAAUAGAACUGUCUGUAAUGCCUUUAAAAAGUCUGUAAGUACAAUCAUCAACAGUUAAAUGGUCAGUAACCCUGGAAAAGAUAUGACAGUUUAUGAUAUACCAGAAAUAGUGAAGGUCAUCUUUCCAUUGAGUAUGACACCAAAUAACAUACUAAGCGGCUUUUUUUUCAUGAGGCAUGCACCUAUUUAACCCUCAAAUAUUUAUAGAUUUAGACUUUGCUCCAAGUUUAGCAACAGAAAUACCUAUGCCAUUCAAAACCAAUUCUCAAUUAACAAUGCCUCAAGCUUCAAAGGUCAGUGCCGACAACACGGUUGCCGCCUGCCACUCCCCCCUCGGAUCGUCCGCCCUCAUCGUAGCAUUGUUGAAACAAAUAAUUUGUCAGAAAUAUUAGUUUAAACAACAAUCAAAUAUGUUUGAUGGCAAAUAAACCAUUGCAGUAAAUGAAACCCAUAACAUUACAAGUUUGGAUGAUUCUGAUGUUGGAUGUGAAAAUAAAAAUGAUGUAACUGAUUUACACACUUUUCAGAAAACUGAAUAAUUUUCUGAAAAACUAGAAUUGAGUUAGAAUGUAAUAAUAAAUUAGAUCUUUAAGUACUUUAAGUUUUUAGUUCGGAUUAUGAUCUGAACAGUGUUUCCACUCUGCGUGAUUACGUUGUGUUUCCACUCUGCGUGAUUACGUUGUGUUUCCACUCUGCGUGAUUACGUUGUGUUUCCACUCUGCGUGAUUACGUUGUGUUUCCACUCUGCGUGAUUACGUUGUGUUUCCACUCUGCGUGAUUACGUUGUGUUUCCACUCUGCGUGAUUACGUUUUAUAAGAUUUUUCGAUCUGUUUUUGAUAUUUUUGAUUUUAUGUAAGAUUUCAUGAUUUUUGUAAGAAUUUUCUGUUUUGAAUAUAAAUUAACUUGUAAUAAAAAUAUUAUCACAAAUUUCUGAACUUACUUUAUAAAUCUAUUGUACAUUUAUAAAGUGUGGAAUAAAUGUUAUGAAGAA